UAGUAGUCGGAUGGAUCGAGAGAUGAACGGCGAGGCGCAGGGCAGAGAUUAAUAGAAGGAGUAGCAGUAUUGUAGGAGGAUAAUAAACCACAUGGGAUAUAGAAGAAUAUCCCAAUCCUCGAAAUGGCGGUAGAGGAGAUAGUGCGUAUCAUUUGAUAAGGGCGUCGUGAACGACAGGAAAUACUUCCUGGAUCGGCUUUCUGUAACUCCUAUGUGUACAGGGCGAUGAGGUGAGUUGAGAGACUUAGUGUACACCUACA
rnacentral:sRNA from 17 species